AUGCAAGUACACACGGCCGGUACAGUGAAACUGCGAAUGGCUCAUUAAAUCAGUUAUGGUUCCUUUGAUCGCUCCAACGUUACUUGGAUAACUGUGGCAAUUCUAGAGCUAAUACAUGCCAACGAGCGCUGACCUCCGGGGAUGUGUGCAUUUUAAUAUUUUGAAUAUAUCCCUCCACUGCAUACUCUAAACCCUUUUGCCUCGAUCUGGAGGAUAUCGCGGAAGUAUUGCUCAAAAACUGUCACUGACACACACCGGUAUACCUCUUCCCGUCAUGGCACGCUGCCGUG
rnacentral:ncRNA from 1 species